ACGGAGGGUGCAAGCGUUAAUCGGAAUUACUGGGCGUAAAGCGCACGCAGGCGGUUUGUUAAGUCAGAUGUGAAAUCCCCGGGCUCAACCUGGGAACUGCAUUUGAAACUGGCAAGCUAGAGUCUCGUAGAGGGGGGUAGAAUUCCAGGUGUAGCGGUGAAAUGCGUAGAGAUGUGGAGGAAUACCGAUGGCGAAGGCAGCCCCCUGGGCGAAUACUGACGCUCAGGUGCGAAAGCGUGGGGAGCAAACAG
rnacentral:rRNA from 1 species